rnacentral:rRNA from 1 species
AAAAAUUAAAAUUAAAAUACUAAAAUAAUAAAUAAGUUUUUAUUGAAAAUUAAAUAAUUUGGCGGUAUUUUAGUUCAUUUAGAGGAAUCUGUUUAAUAAUUGAUAUUCCACGAAUAAAUUUACUUAAUUUUUUAAUUUUGUAUAUCGUUGUUAAAAAAAUAUUUUUUAAUAAAAUUAAUAUUUUAAAAUUAAAAUAUAAAUUUUAAAUCAGAUCAAGAUGCAGAUUAUAAUUAAGAAUAUAAUGGAUUACAAUAAAUUUAUUUAAAUGGAUUUUAAUUUGUAAUAAAUUAAUUGAAGGUGGAUUUAAAUGUAAUUUUAUUUAAUUUAAUAAAAUGAUUAAAAAUUGAAAUAUGU